rnacentral:tRNA from 1 species
GAUGUGGCUUAGUGGUAGAGUGCUUGCCUAGCAUGCAGGAAGCCCUGGGUUCGAUUCCUUAAUAUCA